rnacentral:ribozyme from 1 species
UCUUGUCUUUUUUUUUUUUUUUUUUUUUUUUUUUUUUUGUC